rnacentral:tRNA from 1 species
GGGGGCAUAGCUCAGUUGGGAGAGCAGUAGACUGAAGCACACUUGUAUUCUAAAGGUCCCGCGUUCGAUCCGCGGUGCCCCCA